GGCCACUCUGAAUGUGGGUGGAGAGACAGCCUGGCCUGCUUGGUGAGUAGGAGGGACAUCCUGGGGGAGAGCUGGGGCCAUUUUCCCUCUGGGUUCCUCUGGGUUCUGCCUUCUGGAAGUUUCUGGACACCUCGGGGCCCCAAGAAUGUGCAAGGAAGCUAGGAAAGACAGCUGCUGUCAGCCAGGCAGUGGGCAAUACAGAACAGAAGCCAGCAUGUGCAGAUAGGCUUGUAUUGGGGAGUCUUUGCAUAUGGGCUCUACUUUUUUUUUCUAGUUGUUUUUUGUUGUUGUUGCUGUUGUUUUUUUGGGACAGGGUCUUUCUGUGUAGUCCAGGUUGAUCUUGAACUCACUAUGUAAUCCAGGCUGGCCUUGAACUCAUGGUGAUCCUCCUGUCUCAGCCUCCCAAGUGCUGGGAUUAUAGGUGUGCACCACCACACCUGGUAAUGAGCCCUACUUCUGUCCUCUUGGUCCAGGGGUCUUUACUGAAGUUAGCCAUAGGUAAAUGGCCAAAGGACAUGGCCCUGGAGGCCAGGGGCUACAGCUGACAAGACCAGGGAGGUGUGGGGAUCCUGUUCCCUGGGAGCCAGGGCCUCCUGUUUCCCAUUGACUUUUCUGCAUGUGUGCAUGUGUGUGCACACAUGAUACAGGAGUGCCUCGCCUCUGGGGGCCCAGCUGGUGAAGACCCUGCAUGUACCUCCUGCCUGGAGCAGUGGCUCUGCAGAGCACCGUGCUGCCUUUCCCUUGAGGGUGCAGAGGACUCUGUGGGGCCCUGGAUCCUUCUGGGAGGCGUGAGGAGGCCCUGCUGGAACUCUCAAGAAGCAUCCCUGUCUGCCCGGGCAGUGAGGCUGGGGUGGUCCAGGGCAUUGUGAUCAGAGAUCCACCCUGCAGAGCUACAUUCCAGGGCCCGAGUCCUGAUCCUGCCUCCUCCUAGCUGUAUGUCAGGACCAUAAGCUUCUCUGAGCCUCAGUCAUCCUGUCUGUAAAAUGAGGCAGCUUCUACCCCACUGGGCUCAGGGGAAAUGAGCUGGUCCUCUGAGGAGCCCAGCGUGGUGCCUCUGCCUGGCACAUGCUAUGGGAAAGCUGGCCUGGGAAAGGCCUCAGUACUCUCCUCCCCCCACCCCAGGGGAGAUCCUGGGGCCCCCUUGCUGGUGUCACUGAGCGACAGUUAUGCUUUGUCCCAUUCUUCACUCUUUAUUACAUCCUUCAUGCAGAUGUGGCCAGCUGGCACUCUGGGAACUCAUUGGCAGGUGGGUGGGUGAAGACAGUAUGUGGCUGUGACCAUGGGUCAGGGAGUCACUGGGUCUUGGGCCGGCCCUGCGCCCUGGAAGGAGUGUCAGGGUGGAGGUGGGGAAGAACUGCAGGCAGGGCACGUAGCCAAGCUGAGGGUAGCCAUGGGCCAAAGUGGCUGGGCCAGGCUGCCACAGGCCAGGGAUGACACUGAGGGGUCGAGACUUUUGUUGUUUGUGCUGAGCCAGGAGAGGUGGCAGUCAGCUCCGAGCCCUGGGCCCAGUGGGCAGUGGUUGGAGAGCAUUGAGAGGUGCCUUCUGACCUGGCAGCCAUGGAGCUUGGGGACGUCAGGGUGGUGACAGUGCACGGGGCAGAUUCCUGCCAUUUCUGUGCUAGAGGGGGCUCCUGACUGUGAGGAGUACCAGGGGAGGGCAGCCCUGGGGCCCUGGAAUUGGAGGCCUUCCUUAAGUACCUCUGUUCUCUCCAGAAGGUACCUCCUCUUCCUCCUCACUGAAUUGUGAGCUUGUAGGAGGCUAGAGUCGUGUGGAUGUCAGGACGGAGGGCGCUGGUGUGCUGUGUGUUGCUUUCUUUACUGCCCUGUUCAGGAAUGACAGUGCAGGGUGUGUCACAGAGUGCUGAGUGACCUCUGACCCUUGACCUUUUCCCAUCCUUCGAACUCCGGAGAUCCUGCCACCUGCUCAGGACUGAGCCUCCUGAGCAUAUGGUGGGGGUGGGCUGGGCAGUGACAGCCAUAUCAGACACCUGGGCUUUAGUGGGGCCAGUGAGGACCACAACACCAGCUAGCAUACCCUGCACCUCCCCUGCCAGAGGGCUGACACCCACACAUUCUCCUACUCAUUCCCUCUUAAGGCAGAGCUGGGUUGGCUGGGCCAUUUGGGCUUCUUGUGGUGGGAUGAAGGGCAGAAGGUAAAACCACAGAGACUCAGCCCUGCACCUCCACUCUCCCGUGGUUUUGCUGUGUGACUCUGGGCUGGUCCUAUCCCUCUCUGGGUUUCUACUUCCCCCUCACCUGGAAUGGGGAGGGGACACCCAGACCAGAUUGUUCGGGGGUUCUCUGGGGGAAGAGAGGCAAGGAAAGAAGCAGGGAGGCAGGGAAGGAGAGGGCCCCAGGGUGGUCCACUCACUGGUUCUGCACAUCUUGGAGGGUGUCAGGCAGUGGCAAAUUCUGGGUCUCAGGUAGCAGCAGUGCAGCCAAGCCACCUAGCACUGGCACCACCCCAUACACCAGCAGGGGCAACCAGGGGUUGUGGAUGCCCAGCAGCCGGACCAGAGGCCCCAGCAUGGCUCCUCCACGGGCAGCCAUCUGGCCCAGGCCCACAGCUGUCAUCCUGCUGGGGCAGAUGCACCUGUGAAGAGUCGCUUCUCGGCCCUUGGCCUUCUACCAGGGUCCAGCCCCACUUGGUCCAGCGAGGCCCCAGGUAUCAGUCCUGGCUGGACAGACUUGGGUCACAUGGAAGGGAGACACCAUCUCAAGCAUCGGAGUCUAGGAGGCCCUGCCCCUCCCCGCCCCAGCCAGGGCAGCCUCACCUGAGCACAGUGGGGAAGAGCUCUCCACUGUAGACUGUGAUGCAGCUGAAGGCAGCCCCCAGUGACCCCAGCCCCAGAACAGCCAGGGCUGAACAUAGUGGCCCCAUCUCUGCGAACAGAGACAGGUCAGCAGGGUUGGCAUCCGGAGUCCCAGGGGCAGUGGGGGAUCCCUUUAUCCCAGGGGCUUCUC
rnacentral:lncRNA from 1 species